CACGAUUUCAUCAGACAUUCGCGUGUCACUCUUUGGUGUCACAUAAACGUCUUAUUACGAUGAAUUUACAAUAACUUUUUUAAAAAUAAUAAAUUAAACAAAUUUAAAAUUGUUAAAUAUUAAUAUUAAUUAAAUGUUAUGAAAUCUAGCAGAAUACUACAAUAAUAGCUAAAAAUAUGCAUCAUGGCAUACCCGUUGAAUACCUUAUUUUGUGGAAAUUUUGAUCUGGGUGAAAUUGUUUUUGUAUGUUUGGCAUUCACCAUUGUCCUUAUCGUUUUGAGCCAAGCUAGCAAGAUUAUAGCUUCUGGAUUUUUCAACCUUUCACCAGUGCGUAAGAUAAUGUUGGCAAUAAAGCGGUUAUUGCAAGCAACCAAAGUACAUUCUAUCUCGGUACCAAAACAAGUUGCAGCGGUGCAGAGGCGGUCAGUGGCACACUAACUGACAUUCUAUGUGGACGUGCCUUUAUUAUUGGAGUGCUCGGGCUUUUCAAGUAACAAGAUGUCGCGGCGACUUACGAAGCGAUAUUUAACAGACGCUGAUGAGUACAAGUGUCCUCUCUCACCUGAAACACAAGCUAUAGCUGAGGAGGAGCUGAGAGAAACAGAAAAUUCGAGGUCACAGGCAUUGGCAGCCCUAAGAAGCUGGCUGGAACAGAAUCCAAAGUUUCUUGCUGUUAGAAUGGAUUCGAACUUCCUGCUGCGUUAUCUUCGUACCAAAAAAUUCAGCGUACCUAUGGCUCAAGAAGCAAUAGAGAGAUACAUGCUUCUCAGACAGUCUUGGGGCAUAGCGUUCAACCAGCUUGAUUAUAAGUUGCCAGUAAUGAUGGAACUUAUUGACCUCGGGUACAUAUUCGUGAGCCCCUUCAAGGACAAGGGAGGACGAAGAGUCGUUAUAUACAGGCCAGGAGUAUUCGAUCCGUAUAAAUACACAAACCAGGAUAUGUGCAGAGUGAUGGCCACCUGCUAUGAGACCUUAAUGGAAGACGAGGAGACUCAAGUCCGAGGGCUGGUGCAUUACGCAGACGGAUCUGGAGUCAGUUUCCCCCACCUCACACUUUUCACUCCGAAAGAGGCUGUGCGGAUUGUUAAAAAUGGAGAGAGGACAAUACCAAUGCGACAUAAAGAGAUUUACGGAGUGAACGUUCACCCAACAAUUAAAUUUGCUCUGGACUUUGGUAUGGCUUUGAUUUCUGAGAAAAUACGAAAACGUGUGAAGCUAUAUACAUCGGUGGAAGACGUCGAGAUAGAUAAGAAUUUACUUCCGCUGGAGUACGGCGGCACUACACCUAUGAAGGAAAUGAUAGAGCAAUGGAAAGUAGAGCUGGCUAGGAAGCGUGAUAUUCUCCUGUUGAGUGACAAAAUGGCAGUACGCCUGGAGAUGUACAGCGAAGCGGCGCGAGAAGGUGCUAUAUCGGCUCUGCGAUCCGGAGCAAACACUUGCGCAAGCGCAGACGCAGUUGGCGACGCCAUGAGAGGACUAACGGGCAACUUUAGAAAACUUGAAGUCGACUAAUUUCAUGUCUCUUUCUUUCUAAUUUAAGUUCAUAAGCGAGUACAAACUAAAUUGUAACCCUACCAUACGUAUUCUACUGUACAGUAAUAGUUACAUUAAAUAAUUAUACAUGUAAAGAUAUCAUUAUAAGUUUAGAAGUCUGUCUCAUAACUACAGGAAGUUAAAUAGUGACCUCGAACUGAUUGUUGAUGAAGUUCAAUGUUAUAUUCAUGAUUUAAACUUUAGAAUGAUGAUGUACCUACGCCAGGCAGCCGUCCAAUUGUAAUAUUUCGAAGGUUUGUAGCUCCGUUACAAUUUAUUUAAUUAAUAUUUCGUGUCUCCACUAGGACUAUAUUAUGACGUGGAAACUUCAUAAGCCGCGAAAACCAACUAAAAGGCCAAUGCUUCUGUGACUCCUUCAGAACUGUAGAGUAUGAGCAAUGAUCACUGACCAACAGGUGAAUAAAAAAAGUGUGUGUAUGCUUAUGUAUGCAUGCAAAAAGUUAUACUUCUUUGGCCUAACAAAGAAAAAAAUCCUUAUAAUUAUUUAUUCCUCGUGCUGUUUUGUUUGGAGAAAGAACAGUAUUGUUUAAAUCUUGCAAAGAUGGCUUUGACAAUUAAUUAUUAAAUAACGAAUACGGCUGUACGGGCUUGAACCCUUUGCCCAUCCUAUUAAUGGACGAAGAAACCAAAAAAACCAACUUCACCCUGUUACUCUUGUGUUACAGUGCGCGCAUCUUAAAAUUUCACACUCAUAAUUUUUACAUAACGCGCCUUAAGAACUUCAAAAACUUCUGAAAGUAAGAAUAAUUCUAAUGUUUUUUGGCAACGUAAACGCUUGCCCAUGAUAUACUCGUUGGUCAUGAUUCAUGCCUAAUCAAACGGACAAAAGUCCACUUAUGAUAAUAUUAUGUUUAGUAAGACUCAAUCAAUUUUAUUAUACCAAUAGAUGUGUCAUAUAUAUAGUCACAAAGUAAAGCACGCCAGAAGAUUUCACUGCAAAAUUUAUACAACUAGUUACAUAGUUUUUUUACUUUCGCAUCAAUACCUAUGCCAAUAUAACGUAUCUGCAAUGAAAUAGGUACCUUCAGUUAUGUUAUGCCCACGCUAAUAACAUAACUGCUCUUUCUAAUUAAUUAUAUAAUAUCAUCGGACAUUUUAAAAUAAGUAAUUUUAUAGCAUAAUAUAAAACUUUUUAAUAAUAUUUGUGUCAUUAAUUAUAAAAUAUCAUUAACUGCCCUACUUUUAUCACUGAGGUGAAACUUAUGUAUCGACGUUCAACGGCGGUGACUCAAAUACUGUAUUUGACACCGUCACAGGUGAUGAAAGCUGGAUAUAUUGCUACGAACCCGAAACCAAAAGACAAUCAGCUAAGUGGGUGUUUCCUUUCGAGGAUCGGCCAACUAAGGUAAAGAAAGGAAGAAGUUUUCAUGUCCCACUGUGUGCUUGUCGCGUCCUUUCACCAGUCUCAUUCUGACAAGCGGGAGAGAAAGGGAUGCGAAUACUUGUCAAUAUUUGUAACACAUUAAAUUAUGUAUAAGGUUAAACAAUCUCUAGAUAGUAUCUAACUGCUACUACCAAUCUGUGUCUAUCAAAACAGUAAACUGAACACGCCGUGACUGCGACAUUGCCGUUCUGUUGUCGAGCGCGCGCAGUACCAGCGCCGCUUAGAUUUGUAUGAAAAAAACUAACGUGCCGGUGCUGUACCGCAGCAGGCCGUCAAGAAACGCAUAAAUUGAAUUUUAGUAUCUUCUAAGGGUAACUCAAUGACCACUAGCAUAAUUGUUACCUACAAAUUGUUAUAAAUAUAUUAUGUGUAUUUACAUCCAGACACAUAUCAAAUGACUAUGUUUGCCAAACAAAUAUUUAUUCCGGAUGGGAUUGAACAUACGACCAGGGCCAACCUACUAUACUUCUAUUUAAUGUAGUUGCAUUACACCUUAUACCUGCUAGAAAUAAGGUGGGCUUCACAAUAAAAGUCAAAAUUUUUAUUAAA